CCAUGGCAGGGGGUUGGAACUGGAUGAGCUUAAGGUCCCUUCCAACCCAUCCCAUUCUGUGAUUCCGUGACACACAGACUCACUGUGGUAAGAUGUGUGUUACACCAGUCUUAAAAACACUGGUUUAGCUACUAAACUCAGGUUUGUUACAGCUUAGGGAGGUACACGCCCAGUUUCCAGGACUGCACAUCCCAGUCGGUGGUGGUACCAUCCAGGAUGGUCUCUUUCCUGGCAUGAAAAACACUGAUGUGCCAGCAAAGUAAGUGCAACAUUUCCUUUUGGCUUGUAGAUCCUUGAUGGUAUGGAAUAAAAACUUCCUGGCAGGAAUAAGGGUUGUUUUAGAGUUUGGGCUUUUUGUUUUAAACAGAGAACUCCUUGGAGGCUUGGAGCAACCUGGGAUAGUGGAAGAUGUCCCUACCUAUGGCAGGGAAUUGGAAUGAAAUAGCUUUAAGGUCCCUUCCAUCCCAAACCAUUCCAUGAUUUUAUGGCUUAAUGAGCUGUCAUCAUAGACUGUCACUGCAGCUGGAUCCUCAUGUAGACUGGAAGAACAAUUCCUUUUUUUAUUUUUAUUGUUUUAGGCACCAGACUGGGAUUUGGGAGAGUGAAGUCCUGGUCCUGCCGCUGCCACAGGAUUGCUGGUGUCAUCUCAACAUUUUUGGGGACAUAUCUUGACAUGCACAGAGAUUCUCUGAGCAGGACUGGAACAAGCUGCCCAGGGAAGCACUGGAAUUGCCCUGGAAGUGUUCAAAAGUAUCCCAGGUGACUGUGUCUGCCCUGACUGCAGGGCUGGGCUGGAUGCACAGUGCCCUUCCUUGGAGCAGCCACGGGGUCAUGGUAGAGGUUCUUACUUCCCUUCCGUUUGGUGGCAGACGACUCAGCCUGGAAAAGGGAUUGCUGAGGUGAUGAUAUGAUGGAAGUCUGAGAUCUAUUAGCCUGGAAAAUCAUGGAAUGACAGGAUAGCCUACUUGAAGUGAAUCCCCGUGUGGAAACCUGCUCUGUGAAGGCCAGUGAGGAAGGAAGGAAAAUGGAUGUUCUGUGCACCCCAGACACGUUGGUGAAUCCAGUUCUGCAAAACCGACUGGAAGCAGCAACCCAGUGUGACACACAUGUUUGGGUGCAGAAGCGACGCCAGUCACUCACAGAGGGAAGAUGAGACCUGGCUGUGAUCAGUGUGAGGUUCUCCUGUGCUGCCAACUCGAUGUGACACCUCCCUGUGCCUGGGCACAGCCCGUGUCACAUCUGCUGGGGAUGAUGAGCAUCAGCAUCAAACCAGUUCAGCACCACAGGGAGAAGAUGUUUCUUCUUUUCACAUCCUGUGUGGCUGAGCUGUCACAUCAAGGCCAAGUUCAGUCUCCCUCCCUGGUGACUCUUUGUGGAUGUUGUGGCACAUGUGGACACAACAGGAGCUUGGACAUGUUGCUCAUCAGGGCUGAGGGACAUAAGGGCGUAUAAAAUCCAGGCAAAACUCCACUUCCUUAUUAAUCUGUCUCUGGGCAGUGGCAAAAGCUUGUGGAAAACACAGGAAUACAGCCUGGUAUACCUUUGUGGGCCUCCCUUGUAGUGGGCCUACAAGGAAUUUGGAGAAGGAGCCUUUGUCAGGAACUGUGGUGACAGGACAAGGAGUAAUGGGUUCAAACUGAAAGAGGGGACAUUUAGGUUGGAUAUAUGAAAGAAAUU